UCGGACUGGCUCAGGGAGGUCGGCAACGACCACCCAGAGCCGGAAAGUUGGUCAAACUCGGUCAUUUAGAGGAAGUAAAAGUCGUAACAAGGUCUCCGUAGGUGAACCUGCGGAGGGAUCAUU
rnacentral:rRNA from 2 species